rnacentral:lncRNA from 1 species
CAUCCCAUCCCAUCCGAGAAGAAGAGAUAGAAAAAAAAAGGUUCGAGGGCGUUGCGGAGUGAGAAGAGACGAGAUGGCUCCGGUGAAGCUGUACGGCGCGACCCUGUCGUGGAACGUCACCAGGUGCGUGGCGGCGCUGGAGGAGGCCGGCGUCGAGUACGAGCUCGUCCCCAUCAACUUCAGCACCGGCGAGCACAAGAGCCCCGACCACCUCGCCAGGAACGUACGUGCCCUACCAUGCCCUCCCCCCCUCUUGAAUUUACCAUCCGUGUCGAUAGUUCGGCGGCCCUGCGCCGUCUGCUUGCCUCUAAUCUCACGAGAUGAUGACGUCGAUUCGUUCGGUCCGUCGCUGCCAUCGGCGGAGCAAAAAGUCAGCCGACUCCCGCCGUGGGGGGUCGCUUCCAUGUCUCCAUCACUGUUUAUUUUAGCGGGGGCCGGAGAGAUGUCGCUGUCGCUCUCGUAUAAUCUAGCAGUACUGGUAUCACGAUUGAGACCAUGGUCCGAUGGGGCGUUUACAGGUCGAUGUUGGAGCAGAUCCUAGGUUCAGAUUGUACUUCGAUGAGGACGAUACAGGGCGAGUUUUUCCGCAGCUGGUCUCAGAUUGGCGAACCAUUUGGGCGUGGACCGCGUGGUGGACUAGAUUAACUAACACCUCCGGCUCCGCUGCUCCCCAAUCUUUUAGUCACUUGAAUUUCGCCAACUUACACUGUAGGAAAUUUAUAUUUUCACCACAUCCACGUUCCUGCUCCGACGACCCACGCCACUGGUAUGCCAAGUGUGUUAUUUACAUCUUCUCUUAAACCUUGUAAAUGUAAAUAUUUUUGAUUCAUUAUGGAAACUUGAUCUGGAUGUGCCAUUUAGUUUGCUUGUUCAUUGGUGCUUUGACAAGUUAAUUUUGGAACAAAUUGCAAGCUCAAGGAGGAAUACAGUCAGCAAAUCCCACGCCCUUCCUGCACCCAAGCACCGACAACGCCACCAACCACCCAGUUAUAUUACAAUUGUGUCACUUUUUGCCAAUAGAUCUCCCCCCUAAACCUUGUACUAAAAACAAAAUGAUUUGGGUAAAAUGUAAAAACUUGAUCUAGAUUGCCCUUUAAUCAUCUGCUAGUUCGAUUAGAGAUUUUAUUUUGUAGGUCUUAUAGGUUAGUCAUCCCUAUUCUUUGACUUGUUCCUUAUUAAUACACCACAUACAUCCAUCAGAUUUGCUUGGUGACAGGGAAGGUGUGGUAAUAAUAGGGUGGGUGUUAAGGUUUGCAAGAAGCAUGCUCCUUUCCAGUAUGGGCAUUCCCUGUGUACCUCACGGAAUAAACGAUCAUUGGUUCAGCAAACUAUCUUACAACAUUAACCCAGGAGUCCCAAGCAACCUGUGGAUGCUCAGAAAGUUGACAGAAAAACGUAAAUCAAAACAAAAUGUAGCCUGCAUUCAGUACCACCUAUUACGUCCUGUCGCAUUUUUUUGUUGCACAGCCACUACAGCAGCAUCUCAUGGAGACACUGCAAAAAACAUGCAUAAGUAGUACUCCCUCUGUACCUAAAUAAUUGUAGUUGGGGAGAACUAGACUAGUCCCUCCUUAAGUUCUCCUCAACUAUAAUUAUUUAGGUACGGAGGGAGUAUUUUGUUUGACCACCUAAUCUUAGUGUGAUAGUAAUCGUGACAUGUGGUUUCUGUUUUUAGAGAUUUGACAUAUGAUAAAACUGACUGUCUUCAUGUUGUUCUCUGCAGCCCUUUGGGCAGGUGCCAGCUUUGCAGGAUGGUGACUUGUAUGUCUUCGGUAUGAUCCUAUGUCUCGAGACGUUCUCUCUUUUCUACCCCUCAUAAACAGAGCUAUAAAGGGUCAUGAUGCUUUUACAUUAUUGUUGUUGUGGUUUGUUUUGCUGUUAAUGUUGUUGCCUUGUAGUAUAACAAAGGUAGCAUUUCCAUGAGCCUUUACUAAAAACAAAGGAACAGAUUCAUUUGGACUGAUGAUAAACCUUUAAAGGUGUUCUUCACAAAUCAGUAUGUGAUGACAUGAGUAAGAAAACAACGUUGCCUAAUUGUUAGCUGCCGCCUGGCAUUAUAAUUAGGAGUUAUACCUUUUUGGAGUUUUCAUCAACUACCAUCGAAUGCUUUAGUUCAGAAUGAUGAGGUAAUAAUUAUAGUUACCAACCACAAGAUUGGUCGGAAGACAAAAACAUGAGUUAUGGUAAGGUUUCCCAAGCAAUCAUAUAGUCUAUGCUUACGAGUUCUCAUUUGAAAUCUAAUCAAGUUUAGAAAUGAUCAUUUUACUAGUUUUAGACCUAUUUAUUGAAAUGGGAUAAAACAGUACCAUACUCCCUUUAGAAUCCUCAUAACUCUGGUUCUAUUUUCUUUUUCUCUUUGUAUUAGAAUCACGUGCUAUUUGCAAGUAUGCGUGCCGCAAGAACAAGCCAGAGCUGUUGAAGGAGGGCGACAUCAAGGAGUCAGCAAUGGUGGAUGUGUGGCUCGAGGUGGAGGCCCAUCAGUACACCGCCGCUCUGAGCCCCAUUCUCUUCGAGUGCCUUAUCCAUCCUAUGCUUGGGGGAGCCACUGACCAGAAGGUCAUCGACGACAACCUUGUUAAGAUCAAGAACGUGCUGGCGGUGUACGAGGCGCGGCUCACCAAGUCCAAGUACCUGGCUGGAGACUUCCUCAGCCUUGCGGACCUUAACCAUGCGUCUGUCACCCUGUGCUUGGCGGCCACACCCUAUGCAUCUCUGUUUGACGCUUACCCGCAUGUGAAGGCCUGGUGGACUGACCUGCUGACGAGGCCGUCCGUCCAGAAGGUCGCUGCGCUGAU